rnacentral:rRNA from 1 species
UACGUAGGAUGCAAGCGUUGUCCGGAAUUAUUGGGCGUAAAGAGCUCGUAGGCGGUCUGUCGCGUCGGCUGUGAAAACUCGGGGCUCAACUCCGAGCUUGCAGUCGAUACGGGCAGGCUAGAGUUCGGCAGGGGAGACUGGAAUUCCUGGUGUAGCGGUGAAAUGCGUAGAUAUCUGGAGGAAUACCGGUGGCGAAGGCGGCAUCCUGGACCGAGAUUGACGCUGAUGAGCGAAAGCUAGGGGAGCAAACGGG